GUGCACCAGUCGAGAAUUUUUCUCAAUGGGGAAACCCUGAAGGAGCGACGCCGCGUGGAGGAUGAAGGUCUUCGGGUUGUAAACUCCUGUCAUUUGGGAACAAGCGCCGGUACGUAACUGCUACCGGCUUGAUAGUACCAGAAGAGGAAGGGACGGCUAACUCUGUGCCAGCAGCCGCGGUAAUACAGAGGUCUCAAGCGUUGUUCGGAUUCAUUGGGCGUAAAGGGUGUGUAGGUGGCGCCGUAAGUGGGGUGUGAAAUUUCGAGGCUUAACCUCGAAACUGCAUUCCAUACUGCGGUGCUUGAGGACUGGAGAGGAGACUGGAAUUUUACGGUGUAGCAGUGAAAUGCGUAGAUAUCGUAAGGAAGACCAGUGGCGAAGGCGGGUCUCUGGGACAGUUCCUGACACUGAGACACGAAGGCCAGGGGAGCAAACGGGAUUAGAUACCCCCGUAGU
rnacentral:rRNA from 1 species